rnacentral:rRNA from 1 species
CUAGCGACAGGCUUAACACAUGCAAGUCGAGGGGCAUCGGGGGCGAAGCUUGCUUCGCCUGCCGGCGACCGGCGCACGGGUGAGUAACACGUAUGCGACCUGCCCCCCGCAGGGGGAUAACCGGGAGAAAUCCCGACUAAUACCGCGUAACGCCGCUGGGCUGCAUGGCCCGGCGGCCAAAGGAAGCGAUUCCGGCGGGGGAUGGGCAUGCGGCGCAUUAGCUAGUCGGCGGGGUAACGGCCCACCGAGGCGACGAUGCGUAGGGGUUCUGAGAGGAAGGUCCCCCACACUGGUACUGAGACACGGACCAGACUCCUACGGGAGGCAGCAGUGAGGAAUAUUGGUCAAUGGGCGGGAGCCUGAACCAGCCAAGUCGCGUGAGGGAAGACGGUCCUACGGAUUGUAAACCUCUUUUGCCGGGGAGCAACGGGGUCCUUGCGAGGGCCCGAUGAGAGUACCCGGAGAAAAAGCAUCGGCUAACUCCGUGCCAGCAGCCGCGGUAAUACGGAGGAUGCGAGCGUUAUCCGGAUUUAUUGGGUUUAAAGGGUGCGUAGGCGGGCUGUUAAGUCAGCGGUCAAAUGUCGGGGCUCAACCCCGGCCUGCCGUUGAAACUGGCGGCCUCGAGUGGGCGAGAAGUAUGCGGAAUGCGUGGUGUAGCGGUGAAAUGCAUAGAUAUCACGCAGAACUCCGAUUGCGAAGGCAGCAUACCGGCGCCCGACUGACGCUGAGGCGCGAAAGCGUGGGUAUCGAACAGGAUUAGAUACCCUGGUAGUCCACGCAGUAAACGAUGAAUGCUAGCUGUCCGGUUCUACGGGACUGGGUGACACAGCGAAAGCGUUAAGCAUUCCACCUGGGGAGUACGCCGGCAACGGUGAAACUCAAAGGAAUUGACGGGGGCCCGCACAAGCGGAGGAACAUGUGGUUUAAUUCGAUGAUACGCGAGGAACCUUACCCGGGCUCAAACGCAGGAGGGAUGUUUUUGAAAGGAGGCAGCCAGCAAUGGUCUCCUGCGAGGUGCUGCAUGGUUGUCGUCAGCUCGUGCCGUGAGGUGUCGGCUUAAGUGCCAUAACGAGCGCAACCCCUACCUACAGUUGCCAUCGCGUGAUGGCGGGCACUCUGUGGGGACUGCCUGCGCAAGCAGUGAGGAAGGCGGGGAUGACGUCAAAUCAGCACGGCCCUUACGUCCGGGGCGACACACGUGUUACAAUGGCAGGUACAGCGGGAAGCCACCCGGCGACGGGGCGCGGAACCCGAAAACCUGUCUCAGUUCGGAUUGGAGUCUGCAACCCGACUCCAUGAAGCUGGAUUCGCUAGUAAUCGCGAAUCAGCCACGGCGCGGUGAAUACGUUCCCGGGC